rnacentral:hammerhead_ribozyme from 1 species
AUCCAGCUGACGAGUCUCAAAUAGAACGAAGCAUGUGUAAUGGAU